UUUUUGCGUUAGUGAUAGAAACGACAUCCUUUUUUGUUUUAAAAACAAAAAAGAUAUAGUGGAUAGCACGACCCUUU
rnacentral:sRNA from 1 species